rnacentral:rRNA from 1 species
UGGGGAAUAUUGGACAAUGGGCGCAAGCCUGAUCCAGCCAUGCCGCGUGAGUGAUGAAGGCCCUAGGGUUGUAAAGCUCUUUCACCGGUGAAGAUAAUGACGGUAACCGGAGAAGAAGCCCCGGCUAACUUCGUGCCAGCAGCCGCGGUAAUACGAAGGGGGCUAGUGUUGUUCGGAUUUACUGGGCGUAAAGCGCACGUAGGCGGACUAUUAAGUCAGGGGUGAAAUCCCGGGGCUCAACCCCGGAACUGCCUUUGAUACUGGUAGUCUUGAGUUCGAGAGAGGUGAGUGGAAUUCCGAGUGUAGAGGUGAAAUUCGUAGAUAUUCGGAGGAACACCAGUGGCGAAGGCGGCUCACUGGCUCGAUACUGACGCUGAGGUGCGAAAGCGUGGGGAGCAAACAGG